GUGGGAGAGGCCGAGGGCGGGCGGGGCCGGGAGGCGGGCCUACCGCCAUUUUGUGGGCACGAAGCGGUAGCUCGGCUCAUUUCGGGUUUCUCGCCGUCUCUGUCUUGUCGUUGUGCUUCCUAGCGGCGGCCUAGUGGAAAUUUAAUCAAAGAUGUCUGAAUAUAUUCGGGUAACAGAAGAUGAGAACGAUGAACCAAUUGAAAUACCAUCAGAAGACGAUGGAACAGUAUUACUGUCCACAGUCACAGCCCAGUUUCCAGGGGCAUGUGGCCUGCGCUACCGGAAUCCAGUAUCUCAGUGUAUGCGAGGCGUCCGGCUGGUGGAGGGAAUUCUGCACGCUCCAGAUGCUGGCUGGGGCAAUCUGGUAUAUGUUGUCAACUAUCCCAAAGAUAACAAAAGAAAAAUGGAUGAGACGGAUGCUUCCUCAGCUGUGAAAGUGAAAAGAGCAGUCCAAAAAACAUCUGAUCUAAUAGUGUUGGGUCUCCCCUGGAAAACAACAGAACAGGAUCUUAAAGAUUAUUUCAGUACUUUUGGAGAGGUUCUUAUGGUUCAGGUCAAGAAAGAUCUUAAAACUGGUCACUCAAAAGGGUUUGGGUUUGUUCGAUUUACGGAAUAUGAAACCCAAGUGAAAGUAAUGUCACAACGACAUAUGAUAGAUGGGCGAUGGUGUGACUGUAAACUUCCGAAUUCUAAGCAAAGCCCAGAUGAGCCUUUAAGGAGCAGAAAGGUGUUUGUUGGACGUUGUACAGAGGACAUGACUGCUGAAGAGCUUCAACAGUUCUUCUGUCAGUAUGGAGAAGUGGUAGAUGUCUUCAUUCCCAAACCAUUCAGAGCUUUUGCCUUUGUUACCUUUGCAGAUGAUAAGGUUGCUCAGUCCCUUUGUGGCGAGGAUUUGAUCAUUAAAGGAAUCAGCGUGCAUAUAUCCAAUGCUGAACCUAAGCAUAAUAGCAAUAGACAGUUAGAAAGAAGUGGAAGAUUUGGUGGUAAUCCAGGUGGCUUUGGGAAUCAGGGUGGGUUUGGUAACAGUAGAGGGGGUGGGGCUGGCUUGGGAAAUAACCAGGGUGGUAAUAUGGGUGGAGGGAUGAACUUUGGAGCUUUUAGCAUUAAUCCAGCGAUGAUGGCUGCAGCCCAGGCAGCAUUGCAGAGCAGUUGGGGUAUGAUGGGCAUGUUAGCCAGCCAGCAGAACCAGUCAGGCCCAUCUGGUAAUAACCAAAGCCAGGGCAGCAUGCAGAGGGAACCAAAUCAGGCUUUUGGUUCUGGAAAUAAUUCCUACAGUGGUUCUAAUUCUGGUGCCCCCCUUGGAUGGGGAUCAGCAUCAAAUGCAGGGUCAGGCAGUGGUUUUAAUGGAGGCUUUGGCUCAAGCAUGGAGUCUAAUAAAUCCUCUGGCUGGGGAAUGUAGGCAGUGGGGGUGGUUGAUUGGUUGGUGGUGGGUAGGUAGGUAGGGUAGGUAGGUAUAGAAUGGUGGGGUUCAAAUUUUUCUAAACUCAUGGUAAGUAUAUUGUAAAAUAAAUAUGUACUAAAUUUUCAGAUUGGUUUGUUCGGUGUGGAGUAUAUUCAGCAGUAUUUUUGACAUUUUUCUUUAGAAAAAGAGGAAAAGCUAAAUGAAUUUUAUAAGUUUUGUUAUAUUAUAAAGGGUUAAAAUACUGAGUGGGUGAAAGUGAACCGCUGUUUGCCUAAUUGGUAAACCAACACUACAGUUGAUCUCAGAAGGUUUCUCUGUAAUCUAUCAUUGGACUUGUUAAAUGGAUUCUUUGCAUGUUCAGAGUAGAAACCAUUGGUUAGAACUACAUUUUCUCCUUAUUUUAAUUUGAAUCCCACCCUAUGAAUUUUUUCCUUAGGAAUAUCUCCAUUUGGGAGAUCAUGAUGUCAUGGUGUUUGGUUCUUUUGGUUUUGUUUUUAACACUUGUCUUCCUUCAUAUACGAAAGUACAAUAUGAAGCCUUCAUUUAAUCUCUGCAGUUCAUCUCAUUUCAAAUGUUUAUGGAAGAAGCACUUCAUUGAAAGUAGUGCUGUAAAUAUUCUGCCAUAGGAAUACUUCUGUCUAUAUGCUUUCUCAUCCAAGAAUUCGUCAUCACGCUGCACAGGCUGCGUCUUUGACGCCCUGAAUGCAAAGAAUUCAUAGCAGUUAAUUCCCCUUUUUGACCCUUUUGAGAUGGAACUUUCAUAAAGUUUCUUGGCAGUAGUUUAUUUUGCUUCAAAUAAACUUAUUUGAAAAGUUGUCUCAAGUCAAAUGGAUUCAUCACCUGUCAUGCAUUGACACCUGAUACCCAGACUUAAUUGCUAUUUGUUCUUGCAUUGUCCAAAGUGAAAGCUUUUCUUUGGGUUUUGCUUUUAACCUAGUUUUUCUUAAGUCUGGGUGACCACACCUAAACUGGUAAGCAGUUACCCUCCAGCUUAUUCUGAGUGCCUCUGUGCAUUUGAGUAAUUUACUAUUUACAUGGCUUUAUAAAUCUCCAUUGGGAAAUCAUGCCUUCUAAAAAUAUUAUUUGGGAAAAGGGGGGAAACAUUUUGUUUUCAAAUGCUUUGUAGCAGAGCAUAUCAAUGGAAAAAGAGGGAUGAUAAGCACCUUUCUGUUUGGGAUUUGAAAAGUGGAAUUAAUUGCAAUAGGGAUGAACUAGAAGAAACCAAGAAACCGUGUGCCUGAUAGCUUUAAUAUAACUAGUAGGGUGAGUUGUCAGUCUUAAGUGAGGUGGGCUUUUACCCUCCAGGGUGUGGGGGCCAUAUAGUGAUGAGUAAAUAUGCUCAAAAAAUCAGAUUAGACUCAUAAUGAAUUGUUAAGAAUGUAAAAGCAAUAAUACAUCGAUUAUUGUAUUUUCCUGUAACUACUGAGAAUGGAGGGGCUUGUUUUCUAAGUGGAAGAAUGUGACCGUUUUUGUGUUGGUAGUUUCCCUAAUGCCCUUACUUAGAUUAUGACAAAUAGGUUUGUCAUUUUGCAAGUUUUGUGUUUUAAAUUUUUAUAUCCUUUAGAGACUUGUUACGAACACGUUUCAUUAUUAUCCUCUGUAAAAGGGUCAUGAGUUAUUGUAAAUUUUUUUUUUCUCUGCAUAUAAACCUGCAUGAUUUCCAAACCCUGUACAUCUGAAUUUUGCAUUUUAGCACUUGCACUAUUACUCAGCAGCAGUAACAUGGUAACAUUAAAAUGGUUUUCGGGGACCUCCAAAGACUAAAAUUGGCACGCCGUCCAGGAGUCCUGGGGUAAGUUACUUGUCAAUGGCAUGGUUUUGAUCCCUUAUUUGCACUUGUUAAAGAGUUACUGGUCAUGGAAGGCUUUCAAUGUUUGAGUACUUAACGUGUUUAUAGUGUGGCAUAGCUGUAGAUAGUUACUUGCCCUAAAUGAAGUUUUAGAAAUAAACUUGGCAACAAUUUGUUUUUGAAAGUAUUUGGUCAUCAAAAUGCGCUCAUUCUUAAAAUAAAAACAAGACUCCUUGAACCGCAGUUGAAUAAAAAGUUUUCUUGCCACCAA